AACGAACGCUGGCGGCAUGCCUAACACAUGCAAGUCGAACGAGACCUUCGGGUCUAGGGGCGCACGGGUGCGUAACGCGUGGGAACCUGCCCUUAGGUACGGAAUAACUCACCGAGAGGGGUGCUAAUAACGGAUAAUGUCUUCGGACCAAAGAUUUAUCGCCUUUGGAUGGGCCCGCGUUGGAUUAGCUAGUUGGUAGGGUAAAAGCCUACCAAGGCGACGAUCCAUAGCUGGUCUGAGAGGAUGAUCAGCCACACUGGGACUGCGACACGGCCCAGACUCCUACGGGAGGCAGCAGUGGGGAAUAUUGGACAAUGGGCGAAAGCCUGAUCCAGCAAUGCCGCGUGAGUGAUGAAGGCCUUAGGGUUGUAAAGCUCUUUUACCCGGGAUGAUAAUGACGGUACCGGGAGAAUAAGCACCGGCUAACUCCGUG
rnacentral:rRNA from 1 species